UGAGUAACCUGCCCUUAACUCUGGGAUAAGCCUGGGAAACUGGGUCUAAUACCGGAUAUGACUCCUCAUCGCAUGGGUGGGGGGUGGAAAGCUUUAUUGUUGGUUUUGGAUGGACUCGCGGCCUAUCAGCUAGUUGGUGUGGGUAACGGCCCACCAAGGCGACGACGGGUAGCCGGCCUGAGAGGGUGACCGGCCACACUGGGACUGAGACACGGCCCAGACUCCUACGGGAGCAG
rnacentral:rRNA from 1 species